rnacentral:lncRNA from 1 species
CGCCGCCUCCACAGCGCCGUAACUAUGGAGAGCGGGGGCGGGGCCAGGCGGCACYUGGGGGUGGGGCCCUGGAGGCGGGGUCUGCGAGGAGCAGUGAGGACUCUCCAACUUUGGUCCUGUCCGGCGGUGGGUGGGGCCUUAGAACUCCCACACACUCUUUCAGGUCCCCAAAGUCAUCCCAGAUGUUUUAUAUAUAUGUGUGUGUAUAUAUAUGUGUAUAUAUAAUUUUUGUAUAUAUGUAUACUCAUAUAUAUUACAAGUGAAUUUCUUAGAAACUGUAGAUAAAGCAUCUUGAGAAAAUGUUAAUGUUUUUAGUAUUGAGUGUAAGUUAAAAUGGCAUUUGCUGUGCAAAGAGGCAGCUUCAAGACAAGCUUUCUAACUAGAUUGCCAUGCCAAUCCCUGCUGUGCCUGACCUUGAGCGAGACUGCAGGAACUAUAAAGAUGAGGGAGGGAGUGGAUAUGCCUUAUCAUUGUAUUCUUGGCAAUUAAGCAAAUGCCUGACACAUGGUAGGUGCACAACRAUUGAAUAAAUGAGUGAAAGCCUGAAGAGUGUCUCACAACACUGUCCAUGAAGGAGUCCCCACUUUGUCAAGAAAGACUGUGGCAUACUUCCUCUGACAGGCGGGGAAACUCGGAACUAGAAGAUAACUGCCUGGCAYCGGCUGUAACAGGGAAAAAAAUUCUUCCUGCCUGCAUUCUGCAUUCCCGAUGUAUACUAAAACACUGCCAACACACCAGAAAAGGGGACGAAGAGAAAAGUAUCCCGUGGCUUAGCUCAUCCAGAGGCUAAGGGAACAAUAAAGGAGGCAGCUAUGGGCCUGAAAGAAGAAARGCAAGAGAUACCUGACUACACGGACAACAGCUCCCAGCCUCACCACAGACGUCUUCACAGCUAGUGAAGCCCCCAGGCCUCCUUUUUCCCAUCACAUCGCUUCUUUGCAAUAAAGCUCAAAUUCAACCCCGAGUGUCA